rnacentral:sRNA from 1 species
UAUUUACAAUUCAAUUAUCAUAUAUAUUUAUUUUAUAAUCACUUUGUAAUUUAUUCUUUAAUUUGAUAAUCAACAAACCGAAUGGAUUAUACAGCAUGUAAACCAUGCUAACACUUUAUAUCAUGUUAUGUACCAUAUUGACUCUAGCUAUACGCUUGAAAGUUUUCAUAUUGGAGUAGAUCUCCAACAUACAGAAUGAAAGGUGUGUGAGUGAUGGAGGAGGCUUUUCUUCCUCAAUGUUCACUUGUUGAAGUCUGCUGCUAACUAUGAACUGUGACACAAUCCCUGUACAGUGAGUCUGCAGGCUUUUAUAUGGUAUCCGUAUUGGCUGUCAAUUGUUCUUCUAUAUUCACAUUUUAGGCUGCAUGAUAAUGCUGUCUGUAUUGCAAACAAUAAAAUCCAAAUCUUUCUUUAAGCUCAAUCGGAUAAAUGUAUCCAUCUCGGCAGUGAAUUUUCAAUCCAAGAUAGGAACUUAUAGUAUACAAUGUAUUUUAUUUUAGCUGUGUUUGCUGUCAAUGUAAGCAAAUAAAUUAUGCUGUAAUCUGUUAAUCCAUGCUCUGAAUUGUCAUUCCAUGCUGUAAAUUGUGAAUUCAUGCUGUAAAUUGUCAGUUUAUGCUGUAACCUGACAGUCUCUGUGAACAAAGAUUGAUGAUUUUGAAUAUUUUGUCUGUUUGCUUUGAUUUGAUCUUUGAUAUUUGAAUGAAGAUGCCCCCCUUCAUGAUAAAACUGUGAUACCGUUGUUUACAGAUUGAGUAGGUCUUAUUUUUGAUGCAAUAAAAUAUUUUCCGUUUU